UACGGGGGGGGGCAAGCGUUGUUCGGAAUUAUUGGGCGUAAAGGGCGUGUAGGUGGUUCUGUAUGUCUACCGUGAAAGCGUACGGCUCAACCGUAUUUAGUCGGUGGAAACUGCAGGACUUGAGGCUGGGAGGGGCUGGUGGAAUUCCCCGUGUAGCGGUGAAAUGCGUAGAGAUGGGGGAGAACACUCGUGGCGAAGGCGGCCAGCUAGACCAGUUCUGACACUGAGGCGCGACAGCGUGGGGAGCAAACAGG
rnacentral:rRNA from 1 species